rnacentral:lncRNA from 1 species
AUAAACGUGUAUUCAUUGCAGACCGGAACUUCUUAAUAUAAACACGAAAGCACAGAACCAACUUGAAUGAUUGCAGUGUCAUUUAUUUAUAGUGAUAUUUACCAAUGAAAUAUCAAAUAUAAAGGAAGGGGUCUUUUUAUCAAAUCCAGGGACAUUUGAUAACAGUAAGCAGUAAGUGAUUUCAAUAAAACACAGGAGGGGUUUGAUACAAUAUUUCACCUUCACAGGUCAGAUCCACGUACGUAAUCACGAAUCGUUUGGCAUUUGUAGCGUCACUUUUAUACAAACAUUGACAAAUGUCUAUGAUAAUUAUUGAUACUACAACCGUUGUUUGUCAAGAUUUAACAAUAACAUCUUCUUUCGGUUGAUUACGAGAUUAUUUUCUUGAGAUUUGCUUUAUGAUCAAUCAAAAUUGAAUGCAUAUAUCCUGUGAACCCCUUUUAUUCAUCGCCUUGAUGCAAUGCUGCAAAAUCCUGUUUAAAGUGAUUAAUUAUUUUUUUUUAAGUCCGUUAUUCAUUUUUUUAUUGAUACAAAUUAAAGCGAUACAAACUCGAGGAUAUACAUAAACAAUGAUCAACUUAUAUUUGAAAGUCAAUAAAGUAUGUGUUCGGCAACAAUACUGUCGUUCGUUACUUGUCAAACGAUGGCAUCAUAAAUAUCAUAAUUAGGUUCCAGAAAGAUUAUAACCAAAUAUACCACAUCUAAUCAAAAAUCAAAACUUUCCACUAGACGUCAAAAAUUCUUUUUUAUAUACUUGAAUGGCUAAUUUUUACUAUAAAACAAUUGCAAGUGUUAGUAAAUUUUCGUGUAAAAAAAUACUGUCACAAAUUGGAACGCACGAAAAAAUCAUGGCUUUAUUAACUCAUCUUUUCACGUGCUCAACUUGUUCUGUGUUUUUUUUUUUUGGUCAAUAUCACGAUCUGCUUGAUUAAGGCAACAUACUCGAACGUUAGGAAACUUGCGCUCAACAGUCACUGAAUAAAAUAUUAUUUGUCUAUAACACAUAGAUAGAUUUUCAAUAAAUAUCACAAACGCAAGAACAGGACUAAAUAUGGUAAAUACGAAUGCAUUUGUUUAACAAUUAGGAGAACAUCAUGAUCACAAACAAAUCAUUUCAUAUUAAUUUAAUAUCAAGAACUGUACACUAGUCGUUCUUUAAAAAAACAUACUUUAGCCAAUCAAGUUCAGGACAUUCAGACUUCAAACAUAUAACGGAUGCCUUAAUUUGGUUCCCAAUCUGACUUUGUGAGAAGAGUACACGAACUUCGUAAUUCUAUGAACUACGUCGAUCCAGCAAAAAAAACAAACCCAAAAAACAAUCACAUUUAAUCAACACCUUUAAAUCCCUGUUCAACAUGGCAAUAUCGAAAACGUCAUUCAGUUGCAUUGACUAAUUUUCAAUUUCAAAGUAAUGCUCAAACAAUCCCGAAGAUUGACGAUCUUUACUUUACAUUAUGUCUCUCGGAAUGAUUAUCUUCUUUUAUAUUGCUUUCAAAAUGUACCCCAUUUUUGUAUAAACCCGAUAAUCAUUAAAUAAUAGGCUGUACACUAUUUUAAGAACGGAUACACAAACUAUGAAUUUAGAAGUGUGUGAAUAUAAAACCCUAAACAUAAAACAUAAAAAUAAAUAUUUAGUCAAACAUUUUUUUUAAGGUAUAACUUAGCAGUACAAAAGUUUCCUCCAAUCUGAAAAAAAUUGUCCAGACGAGUUUAAAUGUCUAAGUCUUGUCAUCGAGUCACUUGCUCGAGAAAAUCGAUCCCGGCGAAAACAAUAGUACAACCGAAGUUAUAUAUCGUAUCUAAAAAUGAAACGGGGGAUUUAUUCGACCCAUAAAUAUUAUUGAAUAAUAAAAUUGAGAAUGACAACUUUGAAUAUGUCAAAGGGAUAACAACCCAACAAAACAGCAGAAAACAUUCAAAGCAAACAAUGGACCUUCGACACAAUGAAAAAAAUCCCUCUAUCGAAGGGGGGGGGGGCUUCACAAGACUAACAAAGUAUAAAUGUUUCUUUGUGUAAAUUUUAUUGAAGUUCAUCAAGAUAAUCAAGAUCGUUGUCAAAAACAAACAUGUAUUCAUUUAUUUUUUAUUGUUUUGUUCACUGUUUGUUCACGUAAUGCGUAAUGAACUGAAGAGAUCGGAAAAGUAGGUUCCCGAUUCUCUCAUAAUUAUGCAUGAUACAAGAAAUCAUCAUAUAUAUCAGACUUAUAUUUCGGUAUGUACUAAUCACAUACGUUCGCAUUUAAGCUCUAUCUUAAAAAAAAAAAGGUAGUGCAAUUUUGAACAACUUUACAAUGUGAACGGUGUUUCACAAAUGUACUUAGUCAUUUGAUAUUUUUAUGUAACGGAAUUGUAUGUCUUUUGUGAAAUUAUAGCGUUCGGUUUCAUUACUCUCGUUCUAUUUCUCUACUGAAUUGGUUCACUUUUUUGUUUACACCUGUUUAAGUGUCCUUUCAUAUUUUCCUUUCUUCUUGCAAGCACUAUGUAAUAUGAUAAAUUAUACACCCCACGCCCUUAACAUUUAACAUAUUUUUCAACAUAUUUUUCAUUGUUUCAGGUUGAAGAAUGGUCAAUUUCAGAAUUGGUAUAUGUAUUAUGGUAAUUAUGAUUUUUUUACAUUGCUAUAGCAAUUAUUCUGAAAUUGUGUAUUCGGUGAUUUUAGUGAAUCUACCUUGAUGGUAUUUUAGUUGAAUGCUUACGUGGAAUAUAAAAAGAACUUCUGCUUCAAACACAGCUAAGUUAAAAUAUAUGUAUUAUCAAUAAGUUUCCAGUUUAUAUAUAGUACUGGACAUUUAGUGAUAGGAGCAAUACUGUUUAACUUUCAAUUCAUUACUAAAGCUUUAUUCACACUGCCGAUCAAAUCAACUAAUUAACCAAGCCCGAUAAAGCCAAAUUACAUGAUCGGGAGACUGGUCUGACUCAAUCGACAAGAAUGUUCGGGAUAGUCUACCUUGCUCGUCAUCGAUCUGACUUUGUACUCGAGAGUUUUUUUACACGUCAAAAACAUUCGAGUAAGGAUCGAUAAGUAGCCCAGUAAAGAGAGAUCGAGAAUUUGUCGAGUAGCGGUCGAAUUGAUCGGGAAAGGAUCGUGUAGAGAUCGAGUUUGGUCGGAAUACAAAAUUUUUACCGAUCACUACUCGAUCAUUUCGACCUGUGCUCGAAUAAGGUUCGAUCAUUUUCAGAUUAACUCGACAAAUGCCAGAUCGCUUUCAGAUCACUACGACUUGUAUAUUUAUUCUAUCUCAGACCAAAUACACGAGAACACAUGACUUCUAUACGAUUCUUUAAAAGUGUUUGCAGAUCUGAUUAACUAUUAUAACUUUGCUUUCACAAAAUAUGUUGGUCACAUUAUUUUUAACUUUACAAAAAUUCCACCAAUAACACUGCGUACGUGUAUUUACUUUUGCAAUAAUAGGUAUCAUUUUAAAAGAAAGGCAAGCAACACCAAAGGAACAAUCAAACUCAAAGACAAACCGACACAGCCAUAGCAAAAACGGUAACCGACGAGAAGACACACAGCAUUCCACAUAACAUAGAAAACUAAAAACUUAGCAACACAAAACCCAACAAAACCUGGAAUGAUCUCAGAUGUUCCGGAAGAAAAUCCUGCAAUUUUGGCACCGGCGAAUAUUAAAAUAAUUGUCCAAAAAUAUUCGUUGCUAGACUGCUGAUGACUAAGUUAUCUUUCAAAGUUGGUUUAUAAAAACAUCAAGAUUAUAUUUUACCUGUUUAAGGGCUAUUUUUUAUUUUGUCUGUUUGUAUUUUCCAUUUGUCUAGAAAUGUUUGUAGCAUAAAAAAAAUGAGAUGUGGUACAAUUGCCAAUGAAACAGCUCUCCACAGACAGAACACCAAAUGACACAGAAAUUAUCAAUAACAACUAUAGGUCACCUUACAGUAAUUUUUUUUUUCAUUCAAAAUUUUUGACGUAAUUUUACACAAAAAUGAGACGAAAGACAAAUAUUUUUUUUUAUUUGGUGCCAAUUUCUAUUUAACAAUAAUGAUAAAAACUGUUCAUUGAGCACAUGUUUUGAUCAUUUUUUUCUAACAUACUUUUGCAAGUUUGCAUAAUCUUUGACAAACUAUACACUUGCUGCAUAUGCGUUUGUCGUUUGUCGUUUGUUAGUUCAAACAAUGCAUUUCUUUCUAGCUUUGAUAUUAAAUAAAUUAUCUUGCUUGUCAAAACAUUGUCUAAAAUUACUCAAACUUUAAGUCCCCUCUAAUCAAACGAUGCAUUUGUUUCUACUUUUGUAAUGUUUUACAAACUAUAAUAAACGCAACUUCCUUAGAAAGAAAUGCACUCCUGAUCUUUUGAUAGAUAUAUGUAAAGUUGUAGACUGUUUCAGAAAAGGUAUCACUCCAGUCAAAUUUUGGGAAAAUAUGUGACAUCUUUGCCCUCUUUGGCAAUUACAUACAGGUUGUUGACAUACAGCAAAAACAAAUUUCUUUAACCAUUCAACUACUGGAUAUCAAAUCUAUGAAAAAAUACUGAUUACAUACCUAUGCCAAUAAAUAAAUAUACACAGUACGCUUUAUUUGUAAGAAAUCAAGGAACUGGGGAUGGUAAAGUUAAUAUAUAUUAAUAUCUGACAUAAGUACUAAUCCAGUUUUAAAUCUCAUUUUGUGGUGUCAUUUCAAAAACAGAGCAAUAAAACUACCAUUACAUAUCAGUCUUCACUAUGAGGAAAAAAACGUUUGGCCACGAGCAUCACUGAAGAGACAUGUAUUGUUGAAAUGCGCAUCUGGUGCAAGAAAAUUGGUACCGUUAAAUUUAUUAGGUCGUAUACAGUAGGAUGGUGGUCGGUUGGAAGUCGUAAAUAGGCCCAAUCAAGAAUUUGGUUGAGCUAGGUCGUGGAAAUUUUGAAAAUUAGGAUCAUCGAGUUGAUCUGAUCGGCAGUGUGAACCUAGCUUUACCAGUAAAAGUCUGAAAUUACCUAUAUCUGUAAACGACUGUACGGAUUUUUCCUCAACCAGUCUGAAUUGGUCCUUAUAUUACUCGACAAUACUCGACCCUAGUCUUAACCAUACUCAAGUGUACUUAUAUUUACUUGACCCUUAUAUCUGCCAUUAGAAAUAAUCCAUAGUAUUACUCGAACAGUCUGAAACCGUCUUAACCUAUUCUCGACCUUGACUCGACCUAUUUGUUCAGUCUCAACAAUACUCUACCAAAGAUCUGAACACUACUCUACCGGUCUGAGCCUUACUUGACAAAUUAACCUCUCUAUUUUUCAAAUUUUAGCUGGUAAAAUAUUUUUUUUUCAACUAACAUGACAACAGCCACAAUUAGAUAAAGAUACAGUGAAAUCUGCCUUAUCAACCACCUGAAUUGUACGUCUACCUGCUGUGAACGACCACUUUCCAAGCGCCCUAAUAGAUUUCCCCAUAUAUGUAAGCUGUAUUAAGCGACAUCCUUUUUAACACGACCAACGACCGCGUUAAUUUGUAUAAAACGACCACAUGCACGGUUUUAAUCGAGCAUAAAUUACUUGGAAUGAUCAGCACAUUUUGAAAAACUGUAAUCGUACCGCCAUUUUGAUGAUUAAUGUUGAUUUUCCCCGAGUUAAAACUAAGCUGAUUCCAUAAAGUAGCAGAUUCACUAAAACAAAAUGCUGAUUGUUGACAUUCUAAUAUACGGCAAUCCUUGGUUUAAUCCAACAGAACGGAAUUGACUACUGACUAUCAGAACGUUCAACAAUCAGGACGUCUUUUUCCAAGUCAGAGAUCGCUUAUAAAGUUCAAUUCGUAAUUGCAGUGAAAUUUGUUAUUCAAAUGUGUCACUGUGUUUGUGGUGUAUGCCUUUAUAUUUUUCAAUUAUUGAUGGUUUGCCUGGGAGAGAGCUUUCACAGGUUUUUUUUAGAGUUGUCUCAUUGGCACUCAUACCACAUCUUCCUAUAUCUUUUUUUCUUGACAGUUAUGACACAGUUAUAAGGAACAAAUUAUAUUUUUAAUUCAAUAAAACAUAUUUGAAAUUUUUUGCAUAAUGAAACAAUUAAUAUAAAAUCUUGAAGAACAUGUGAGAGAGCUCUGACCCUGGUUAAUAUUUAGGAAUUAGACUGGACAUAGCUAAGAACCCUGUCUUGUGAUGUAUGAACAAAUUAUGCCCAUUUUGUGGAAAUUGUGGAACGUGUAUUGCAAAACCACCGGUAUUAAGAAACCACGCUUACCUUCUCCUUCCAAGUGGUCUCUUAAGGGCAUACGAUACAGUUUUGAUCCUGUAUUUACAGUACGAUGAAAAUUUCCAUAUGGGCUAGUUUUUGCCUGAUCAAAUCAAAUAUGUAAUAAAAAAUAUACCUUCAUGUGCUACUUUUUGAGUUAAAUGAGGUCGAAAUUUUGUAUAUUUGCUCAAAAUUCGGAUUUGUGGCCGUAUUUUCCCUUUUGAAAGAAAGCCAUAACUUUUUGUUUUAAAAGAUAAACACAAACUGUUUUUUGUUAGAUAAUUUGUAGUUUUUGUAUUUUAUAAGUAUCCUAAAAAAAUAUGCAUUUUUAUUCAGAAAUAACUCAUAUUUAUCAAAUGGUCAUGAAUUAAGAAAAAAUCGUAUUUUUUUUGCUGUAUAUCUAUCAAAAUUAAAAAAAAUCCUCUAUUUACAGUUUUCUAAAAUUUGGUCUACAUAAUCUCCCUGCAAAAUGAAACAAAAUGUCGUUUUAAAAAAUAGGGGUCCAUGCACUCGUUUUCAAAUUAAAUCAGUUUGAAUGAUGAAAAAUAGUCGAAAAAUGCAUCUUUUCCCGAUAUGUCAUAGUUUGACGUCGCGAAAAUAACAUUUUACGUUAGCAACGUCAUUACCUCCCCUGUAACUGUAUCGUAUGCCCUUAAUACAGUUUUGACUGUAUAUAUAAAAAGAGAUUUUUACAUCUUAACAUGAUUCUCUGAUUUAUCAAAUAGAGAUAGUUAAAUUAAAUUAUCUUAUAUGAUAAUCUAACGAAAUUGAUUUUUCAGUUUUAGCAUUUUGUUAAAAAAAAAAAGACUUAACUAAUCAGUAGUUCAUCUGAAUGUACAAAGACCUUUACAAUGAAUAUCAACUUCGUAAAUAGUACUUAGUUUUGAGUUAUAUAUUCUAUGUGUUGAUACUGUUGAUCAUAAUAUUUACUUCUUAGUAUUCCAUUCAGUUGUUGUUGUACUAGAUCUGUCGUAAAUACGUUAUAUUCUCCCCUGAAUGUGACUUUCCGAAUUAGACUUAUCACCAGGUAUGUAAAUACAUAAGCAACACGGCGCGUGCCAUAUGUGGAGCAGGAACAGCACCCUCUUUAUCGUCUCUUUGUUAUGUUCCGUUGGGUACUUUUACUCUCAACAUGUGUAUUUUUGCAUCGAGCUUUCGGGUUUUCGGUUUCAAUCGAACGUUGUGCAGAAAGUUUUAGGUUGCAAUUCGGACACAUUGGGCUAUUUACUUUGGAAGUCAGUUGGUGUUCUCGAUCUAUGAUGUUUUCUAACACAAUUGUGUCUGCUGGGUCACAAUCAAUGGCACUUCUACUAAUCAUUUCUUUUUUAGUUGCUCACACAACUCUGCCAAUAUAGCGGAAUAAAAAGCAUCUGUCAUACAGAUAUUUAGAUAUAAAUAUGAGAUAAAUGAUCAUAUACCGGUAUCAAGGAUAAAAAUAUCUUAGAAGUUUAUUAUUGACAACUUUGUAUCUUUAAAACAUGUGGAACAUUUUUUCAAUGAGGAGAAAUUGAUUUAAGAACCUGUUUUUAGAACGUUUUCUACUUUUUAAAAUGUACCUUAUUGUUAGAUGAUUGCUGUAACUUCUACAUAUGAACUGAAGUGUCCAGAUACAGCACAGUGGCGUCUGAGAGCAACUUACUCGUGUUCAGCUGACCAUUCAUAUGUUUGUUUGUUAGAUGUUUACGGACAGAGGCA